CUCCACUACGCGUCCUUUCCGGAAGAUCGAGUAUCAAAAUAGCUCAAGAAUUGGGGAUGCAGGGUCCCCGCCCCGGUGCUUACCUUCUUUGCGGCUUACACCACCCCGGUGGCUAGAUCCUGGUGAUAAACACUUGCAUUUCCCAAAGUUAACCCAGUAUACCAACCCGGAGCUUGCCAAGAGUCUAUUCCAGCCUACACCGCUAGGAAGCCAACUUCAGCGAGCUCAAUGAGGGGACCAAACUGGGGCUCGCUCUCCAAACGCUCCGCUCCAAAAUCUGACUCUCUCUCCAGCCCCGAUCUCGGUGUGAGCCGAACCUCGGAAAAGACGCUUUUUAAGGGCGACACCGGGUUGGCUUGACAGCGAGGAAAAGAAUACCUGGAUGAAGUACUACCACCUCGGACAAAUCCGCUGGCUCUGUCCAAGGUGCUGAAUGGACUCUGCUCUCCGGGAUCACACACCCGGCGCAGGAGGAGGAAAAGAUGCAGGAAGGUAAUGUGUCUUGUUUGAAGUCAUCAUGUGAGAAGUUCGGCUUUGCUCAGUGGAUCGCCCACCACUUGGUGUGACUUAUGAAUCUAAUAACCCUUCGCAAUAUCCGCAAAGCUUCAACUCUCAUCCACCUUGGCGACUACAGAAGACAAAGCAACUGGCAUCGAUGUUGAAAAACCUAUAGAUUUACGCAAACGCCCUCAUUCUGAGAGACACGUUUCCCUUUGAGUUCUUACGUGAUUCUAAUGAAUGAGCGAGGUUACCAAUGACUGUCCAAUUGCCCUGCUAUAUAGCGGGCGUUUCCUGAAGCAGCUUUCUCAACGCCUGUCACUGAGCCCUAGCACAAAAAGUUCCCAGAGAAAGUGAGGGAGUUUCAGAGUACCCCCAUAAAAAUAAUCCAAUUUGCACGCCGAUCCUUUGCCCACUGCUCAGGUCACACCUGGGGCUCUGGCAAAGAUGAGCUCGGCUCAGGAGAUUUCCCUGUCGCCAGUGUUUUCUUCUCUUAUUCAUCACCUCAAGAUUGCUAGUUACAAUCCAUGCAGGAAAGUGGCCACUGAGAAGCUUCAGAUGGUAGCAAAGUUACUGACUUGGAGCCUAAGAAAACAGGCAAUAGAAGGAGAGGCAGAGAAUCACGAUGCACAAUUUGGAAAGCUUUCUGAAAACAAGAAUGGGUAAUGAUUGCCAAGAACCUGGUGUUGAGCUCAUAUUUAAAAAGAGCUCACGAAAUCUUCCAUCUAACAAACCUAGUUUAGCUGGAAAGAAAACAAUCAGAGCAUCAAAAAAGACAGAGAGACAGAAAGCUUUUGGAAACUCACGAUUUAGUCUGCAAGAGCUCAUCUGCAAGAUGCAUUCCUCAGUGUGACAACUAAGCUUGAGCUAGAAGAUUUGGAUAUGACCUAACUCAGUUUCAGAAAACCAGACAGCCUCACAAUGAAGCUGAAGCAAGACCCCAUGGAGUAUGGAACUAGAGCUGAGUGGAUCUCUUAAAACUGUCUUACAGGCAAAGAUGAAUCAAAGGCAGUAAGAAGGGAUGGAUGGGCAUAGUUAACAUUAUGGAAAGGCAAAUGAAAACCAGUGAGGAGAACAUAGUAAGCGCAAUGUGGUAGGCCUAGCGAGAGACACUCAAGAUCUCUCUGCCUGCAGUAUCUGGAGGGAAGAUUUCACAGCUGCUGAACUGCAUUUCUCAUAAUUUAAUAGACACGAUUUCCUUGGCGGCUUGUUAGAAAGCAGAUUCCAAGUCUGGGAUACGAAUCAAGAUCUGGCAUUUUCAACAAAUUUCCAGGUGACAGGGUUGCAUUGUUUUGCACAGCUGAGUGCUAAAGCGUGUUCUUCCAGGCAAUGGAUUCACUCACACGAUGGUGUGAUUGACAGCUAAGAAAUCUCUCGAGUAACUGGAGUGAAUGUCAUACAGUUUAAAAAAAAUCAAGGGAAAAAAAACAGUUUUAAAAUUGUAAUGCUGUAUAAACCACAGGCUCUAACCUCUUUCUGAAUUUAUUAAUUCUAGAAUUGUGUUGAUUGUAAUGAACACCAGUGUUUUAUAAUAAAUAGCAUUAGCUUAGAAUAUGAAUAUUUGUCAUUUAACAUGGAAUGAAAUAAAAGAAGAAUUAUCUGCUCCAUUUGAGAUACACUGAGUAAAUUGCAGAAUGGAAGAGAAGUCAGAAAAAAAAAACUAUUCUAGUCAUGGAAAGGGAAUUGGUUAGGUCAUAUGAUGAGUCCUGAGCUCAUUCUGGGUUUCUUACUAUAAAUAGGGUAUUUUGGAACUAGAGAAAGCAUAGCAGAAGGAACUAGAAUGACAGAGGGAUUUGGGGAAUUUGCUGAAAGGUUAAAGAAACUAGGUCUGUUUUUCUUUGAAAGGAGAGGAGACAUAGUGCAGCAUUGAGGUGUUUGUUGCCAUCCUGAAAAACGUAGAAGGAAUGGGCUGAGACAAGAGUGCCCCGGAGCUCUUGACUCUAGCUGCAUAUGCAUCAAAAGAUGGCCUAGUCGGCCAUCACUGGAAAGAGAGGCCCAUUGGACACGCAAACUUUAUAUGCCCCAGUACAGGGGAACGCCAGGGCCAUAAAAGGGGAGUGGGUGGGUAGGGGAGAGGGGGUGGGUGGCUAUGGGGGACUUUUGAUAUAGCAUUGCAAAUGUAAAUGAGCGAAAUCCCUAAUAAAAAAUGGAAAAAAAAAAAAAAAGAAAAUCCAAAAGUUAAAAAAAAAAAAAAAGUAAAAAAAAAAAAAAAAAAAAAAAAAAAAGAGUGCUUUACGGACGCAAGGGUAGAAUGAUCCUGGCAAGGAAUGAAGACCAGAGAACGGCCAUUGCCUUUCCUCAGGGCCUCAGCAAGUAGGGUUCCUGUUGGCAAAGCUCCUCUGCUCAUAGAUCAGGAAAUAAGGGAAAGACAGAGAAUGAGGAAGUAUCUCCUUGUUGAUUGAGGAAAAUUUCAAAUGGCCAUUUAUAAAUUCGAUGGAAACCCUAACUCCAGCAUAUGGUGUACUUUAUCAGCGUUCCCCAGGCUCAAGAGCUCUGUUAUUGUAACACACCACUUUUCUGCCUCAUCCAAAAAUGGAACUUAUUUCUCUUCAGUUCAGCAAAUAAAUGUGAAUAGUUUCAGCGUA
rnacentral:lncRNA from 1 species